GCGCCGGUGGUGAAAUGGUGUAGAACACUCGUGACCUGUUAGCAAAUGGUGCGGAUUCGAGUCCCGCCUGGCGCU
rnacentral:tRNA from 1 species